rnacentral:rRNA from 1 species
GACGAACGCUGGCGGCGUGCCUAACACAUGCAAGUCGAACGGAGAUACUGAGGUAGCUUGCUACUUAAGUAUCUUAGUGGCGGACGGGUGAGUAACACGUGGGUAACCUACCCUAAAGAGGGGGAUAACACCGAGAAAUCGGUGCUAAUACCGCAUAACAUUAGUACUUCGCAUGGGGUACUAAUCAAAGGAGAAAUCCGCUUUAGGAUGGGCCCGCGGCUGAUUAGCUAGUUGGUGAGGUAACGGCUCACCAAGGCGACGAUCAGUAGCCGAUCUGAGAGGAUGACCGGCCACACUGGAACUGAGACACGGUCCAGACUCCUACGGGAGGCAGCAGUGGGGAAUAUUGCACAAUGGGGGAAACCCUGAUGCAGCGACGCCGCGUGGAGGAAGAAGGUCUUCGGAUUGUAAACUCCUGUCAUUCGGGACGAAUAAUGACGGUACCGGAUGAGGAAGCCACGGCUAACUACGUG